AUUUAAAUAGCUUAAAUUUUAAAGCGUAGUAUUGAAGAUACUAAAAUGAUAUUAUUAUCUUUAAAUA
rnacentral:tRNA from 1 species